rnacentral:lncRNA from 1 species
AGGAUCGCGGUCCUUCAGAAGCUCUUGCACCUCCUGUCGGCAGCGCUCCUGGUAUUCUGGGUGCCUCGCAAGGUUGUACAGGACCCAGGAGAGGCCACUGGCCGUGGUGUCAUGGCCUGAGGAGCAGCCAGAUCAUAGAGAAACCUACCUUGCUCAGCAGAAGCACAUCAAUGAAAUCCAAAGUCUUGGACUUGGCUUUGUCU